rnacentral:rRNA from 1 species
GGAUUGUAGUCUGNAACCCGACUACAUGAAGCUGGAAUCGCUAGUAAUCGCGGAUCAGAAUGCCGCGGUGAAUACGUUCCCGGGUCUUGUACACACCGCCCGUCACACCAUGGGAGUCGGAAAUGCCCGAAGUCUGUGACCUAACCGAGAGGGAGGAGCAGCCGAAGGCAGGUCUGAUGACUGGGGUGAAGUCGUAACAAGGUAUC